rnacentral:lncRNA from 1 species
CUUAGUUUUUAAAAAGUGUAUAAAAUUUGAAUUAAGAUCAACGGUUUAUAUAUUAGUUAUUGAGAUCUAAAUCUAUUGUAGGAAUUACUAGGAUUUGGUUUAAGGUUUGGUUAGGAUUUGGUUUAGGAUUUGGUUUAAGGUUUGAUUAGGGUUUGAUUUAGGAUUUAUGAUUUUAUUAGGAUUUAAGAUUUAAUUAGUUUUGGUCUAAAGUUUUAAUGAAGUUCAAUAGGAUUUUAACUAG